rnacentral:rRNA from 1 species
CCUACGGGAGGCAGCAGUGAGGAAUAUUGGUCAAUGGACGAGAGUCUGAACCAGCCAAGUAGCGUGAAGGAUGACUGCCCUAUGGGUUGUAAACUUCUUUUAUAUGGGAAUAAAAUGUUCCACGUGUGGGAUUUUGUAUGUACCAUAUGAAUAAGGAUCGGCUAACUCCGUGCCAGCAGCCGCGGUAAUACGGAGGAUCCGAGCGUUAUCCGGAUUUAUUGGGUUUAAAGGGAGCGUAGGUGGAUUGUUAAGUCAGUUGUGAAAGUUUGCGGCUCAACCGUAAAAUUGCAGUUGAAACUGGCAGUCUUGAGUACAGUAGAGGUGGGCGGAAUUCGUGGUGUAGCGGUGAAAUGCUUAGACAUCACGAAGAACUCCGAUUGCGAAGGCAGUUCACUGGACUGCAACUGACACUGAGGCUCGAAAGUGUGGGUAUCAAACAGGAUUAGAUACCCGUGUAGUC